GGGAAUCCCGGAUUCGGCUGCGGGCGCCCGGGCCUCCGCGACGGUGGCCGUGGCGGAAGAAGAAAGAUUCCUCCUAACCGAGUCACCAGGAACCUGAUCCCACCAAGGCCAAGACUGCUUUACAGGCUACUCUUGGCAAGCCUCUCUGCACUGUGCCCCGGCCAGGGAAGACAGGAAGGCUCCUCUGGUCGGUGCUGGCAUUCCGGGCUCCAUGGACCCUGCUACUGACACAUGUCCACAAGGGUGAACCCCAGCAAGGGACGAGGCAAGAGGGAAGCAUGCCACCACUUCCUCAUCCUCCAACAUGGACAGCCAAGGGAGAUCAGGGCCAGGUGAGCCCGCAGCAGCCACCGGACACGGAAGGAAAGAGACCCCCAAGCAUGGCUGAGCUAUAUGAAAAUGCCUAGCACACCCCCAGAACCAAUCCAUUUUCCAAGAGAGACCCCGACGAGGAAGAGACGUGUCUGCUCUCAGGAUGCUGCUUUUAACUGCCUCUGGAACAUCGCCUGUUACAGAGCAGUAACUCAGUAGAGAGUGGUUGGAGGUAGGAAUGAAUGCCUGCAAGAAAUCAGUUCACCAGCGUGCCAGGCUCCACUCUGACUGGCACAUACUUUGGACUCUUCCCUCCCUCCUGCCGGUGAGUGCCUUUGACUUUAGCAAAGGGCUUUCACACCCACAUCUCAUGUCUCAACGUCCUGCGUGUCAGGGUGCUGUUGCCUUUGACAGAUGAGUUAAACAAGACACACAGAAACUCAGGGCUUGUGUAAGAAACAGAAUUCAGGUCUCUUGUUGGAUUCACACACCAGUAUUAAGACUGACAACCCUAGAGAGCAUAUUAAAAAGCAGAGACAUCACUUUGCUGACAAAGGUCCACAUAGUCAAAGCUAUGGUUUUUCCAGUAGUCAUAUACAGAUGUGAGAGUUAGACCAUAAAGAAGGCUGAGCGCUGAAGAAUUGAUGCUUUCGAAUCGUGGCGCUAGAGAAGACUCUUGAGAGUCCCUUGGACAGCAAGGGGAUCAAACCAGUCAAUCCUAAAGGAAGUCAACCCUGAAUAUCCACUGGAAGGACUGAAGCUGCAGCUUCAAUACUUUGGCCACCUGAUGUGAAGAGCCGACUCAUUUGAAAAGACCCUGAUGCUGGGAAAGAUUGAAGGCAGGAGGAGAAGGGGGCGACAGAGGCUGAGAUGGUUGGAUAGCAUCACCGACUCGAUGGGUGUGAAUUUGAGCAAAUUCUAGGAAAUGGUGGAGGACAGAGGAGCCUGGCGUGCUGCAGUCCAUGGGGUAGCAAACAGUCAGAUACGACUUAGCGACUAAACAACAUUAAGAUUGCAGGCUCUUUCCAUGGCUUCUUGCUGUCUUGUGACAGAAUCAGGGGGAACCUUGCUCUUCCCGUGGUCUAGAGUUCACGUGUCCACCCAGGCUGACCUGCACUUGGUACCAGCCUGUGCCAAUAUCAGUGCUGGGCUUUGGGGGGGUGGGGGGAAAUCGGGACAGGUGAAUGUAAAAAAUGGAGAAGAACAAGGCUCAGAGACUGAACAACCACUAAAACGAAGGAAAUGACCUCUCCUCUGUGACCACCAAGGAAGAGUGUUAAACAGCAUGACCAUGGCAGCCGGCAGUUCCCCUCCUGGGUAUAUACCCAAGAACAUUAAAAACAGGAACUCAGACAGACAGCUGUAUGCCAAUGUUCAGGGCAGCAUUAUUCAGAAUAGCCAAAAGGAAGUUGCUGGUCAACAGAUGAACGGAUAUAUAAACCAGAGUAUAUCCAUACGAUGGAAUAUUCUUCAGCUAUAAAAAGAAAUGGAGUUCUGAUUUACGAUAUGACGUGGACGACUCUUGUAAACUAAUUCUACGUGAAAUAAGCCAGACCAAAAGGACAAUCGCUGUAUGUGAAAUUUAGAAUAUGGGAAUUCGCAGACACGGAAAGUUGAGUAGACAUUACAAGGUGCAAGGUUAGACGGGAAAAGGGAAGUUCUGUGUCACAGGUAGAGUUUCUAUUUGGAAUGAUGAAAAACUGUAAACAGGGACGACUGUGGGACAACACAAGGAAUGUUAUUAAUGCCGCUGAACUGUAUAAUUUUAAGAUUUUUUUUUAUGCAGACCAUUUUUCUUAAGUCUUCAUUGAAUUUGUUACAGUAUUGCUUCUAUGUUUUGGCUUUUUGGUUUCCAGGCAUGUAGCAUCCUAGUUCCCAGACUAGGGAUUGAACAUGCACCCCUGCACUAGAAAAUGAAGUCUUAACCACUGGACCACCAGGGAAGUCCCUAAACUGUAUACUUAAAACUGGUUAAAAUGGAAAAUUUAUGUUUUAUAAAUUUAUAUCCAUAUAUAAAUUUAUAUUUAUAUAUAUAAUUUAUUUAUAUGUUAUAUAUAUAUAUAUAUAUAUAUAUAUGACCAAAAAUUUUUUUUAAAAGAUAAACACGACUGUAGUAGAAUAGCAGUAAACAUGUGGGUCAGCAAGUCUAAAAACAAAGCGGACUAUUCAGGAGGUACCAAUACAAUGGAAAAAAAAAAAAAUCCCCCUGCUCCAGGGUGUGUGGGGUCAAAUGCAAAAAGCAAAACUUUUUAGAACUUACUCAGAAGAACAAUCUUAGAAGAAAAUACAGAAAAAUCUGUUUAUACCUUUAGCAAUGAGAAUACCUCCUUAUGCAAGACAUGAAAUGAUGACACCAAAAAAACAUUUUUCCUGUGGUGGUACAGUCUUUUAUCUGGGCAAUCUGGCAGGAUCUAACAAAAUUUCAAAUACACAUAAAUAUACUUAUAUCUUCUAACCCACAGGUCUCCAACCUCCGGGAUCUAAUGCCUGAUGAUCUGACGUGGAGCUGAUGUAAUAAUAAUAGAAAUAAAGUGCACAAUAAAUAUAAUGGAACCAUCCUGAAACCAACCCACCCCCCAACCCCAGUCCAUGGAAAAACUGUCUUCCGGUCCCUGGUGCCAAAAAGGUUGGGGAUCUUUGCUCUAAGCUCUGGGAUCUGUCCUAAAGAAACACUCCCAUGAGUCAUGUUCAAGGGCACUCCCUGAAGCAUCGUUCCUAGGGAAGAAGCAAAAGCAACUCAAAUCUUCCCACAAUAGCACAAAGUCCAAA